rnacentral:tRNA from 1 species
AAGAAAGUGACAGAGUGGUGAUGUGGUUGGCUUGAAACCAGCUUAUGGGGGUUCAAUUCCUUCCUUUCUUG